UCUUCUUUCUCUGUCCACGUCGAUCUUUCUCGUCCUCGCUGUUCCUUCCUCUCUUUCUCUUCCGGCUUAACUCUUCUUCUUCCUCCUCUUCCUCCACCACUCCUACGCCGAUGUCGUGCUCCUCUCUCUUAUCUCGUCCAUACUUCCGUUGACUCUGACGGCGAUAAUGUGGGUUCAGACAUAGUAUAGAUUACGGAAGUUAUCGAGCUGAUGCUGAGGACAUGAUUAUGGACGGCGACAGCGACGAUGGCACCACAGAAUUUGAGGAGAAUAGAAAGGGAGAGCGCAUCGUAGCAGGGCGUGGCUGCUGCGGCAAAGGGUAAGAUAAGAGGCGCAGUAGCGAAAAAGAAUGAAAAGAGUGAAAGAAAAAUAAAAAGAAUGAAAUAUAUAUAUAUAUAUAUAUAUAUACUAUAUAUAAAAGCACGUACAUUCAAAUUUGGGUCUGUCGACGGACCCAUUUUUCGGCGGGAUCCUCUUUCCGUACGAAAAAUUUUAAAUAUAAGAAUAAAAAUAGAAACGGCAAUGAAAACGUAAGUUCUCUAUAACAGAUAUGAAAAUCCUAAAAUAUAAAUUUUUCUAUUUAAUUUCAAAAGUAAGUUCUUUAUAACAGAUUACAGGUGUGAAAAUCCUAUAAAAGAUAUUUUCCUAUUUUAUUUUAAAAUAUCUUUUUUUAGUAUAUCUAUUUAAUUUCAAAAUAUAUAUUUUUAAGAUAACGGAUUUAUUUUUCUAUUAAUUUUAAAAUUUAUUCCCUAACCGAUUUUAUUUUUCUAUUUAAUUUCAAAAGUAAUUUUUGCAUUAAAGUUAUUGUUAAUUAUUAUCAUUUAAAGCAUAUCUUUUCUAUAGCAGUGAUUAUUAUUUUAAAUUUUUUUAGAUACAUAUUUGCAAUCAUAUAAAAUAUGGCCUAAAUUAAAAAAUAAUUAAAAAAAUUUAUAAUUUUUCUAAUAUUAUUUAGGUAUUUUGCACAUCAUUUUACUAGUAUAUAUAAAAGCAGUAUAUUCAAAUUUGGGUCUGUCGACGACCUAUUUCGACGAGAAAAUUAGCGCUCAUUGUUUCUCUUUCCGUACGGAAAUUUUAAACAUAAGAAAAAAAUAAAAUAGAAAUCGCAAUGAUACGUAAGUUCUCUAUAACAGAUUACUGAUGUGAAAAUCUAAAAUAAAUUUUCUUAUUUAAUUUCAAAAGAGUAAUUUCUAUAAGAUUACUGGUGUGAAAAUUUUAUAAAAGAUAUUUCUAUUUUAUUAAAAUAUCUUUUUUAUAUUAUCUAUUUAAUUUCAAAAUAUAUUUUCUUUUAAGAUAACGGAUUUUAUUUUUCUAUUUAAUUUUCAAAAUUUUAUUCCUAACGGAUUUUAUUUUUCUAUUUAAUUUCAAAGUAUUUUUGCAUUAGAGAUUAUUGUUAAUUAUUUACAUUAAAGAUUUUUUCUUAAUAGCGUGAUUUAUUAUUUUAAAUUUUUAGAUACAUAUUUGGCAAUCAAAUAAAUUAUGCCUAAAUUAAAAAAUAUUAAAAAAUUAUAUACUUCUUCUAAUAUAUUUUACGGCAUUUGCACGUACAUUUAACUAUAUAUAAUAUAAUAUAUAGUCCAACUAUAGUGCUUGUAAAACACACAAGCACUUGGUGCUUGUAAGUUUUUACUGUUAGAUCUAAUUCUCGGAUCAAUUUUUCAACUAUUAGAUUAUACUAUUAACCAUACCUUACCCACUACACCCUAGGAGUCCAUAUCAUCUAACCACAUAUCUCUAAUCCAAUUGGCUAAAAUCUCAAGCACCAAUAAUCUUAGAUACUUUUAAAAGCAUAAAAACACAAUAUUAUAUAUAUAUAUUAUAUAUAUAUAUAUAUAUAUAUAUAAGUUAUAUAUAUAUAUCUGAAAAAGGUUCACCAGCACUAUACGUAUAGAAAAGUCAAGAAGUGCAAAAAAUAAUAUAUAAUAUAUCAUGUCUAUAUAAUUUACUUUAAUUAAAUUAAUAAUCUUAAUAAAGUUUGAAAUUAAACCUUGUAAUAUUAGUACUCUUCCACCAAAAGAGUAGAAUAAUUUAUCCCAAGCUAUCUAGAGAUGACCGAAAAUACUGCGUACUAGCAGAGAUAACAUUUGUUAUUCUUGCUUUAUCCCCAAAUCAAAGGGUGCUUUAAAAAAAUCUACUUUUAAGUAGAAAUUAAAUAUAUAACUAGUGUUAACACAAGUAUUUUUUGUGCAUAUAUUAUGUAGAAGUUGUAAAAUGCAUUGAAUAAUGGGAAAACUUCAACUUGCCUUAUGUGAUUUAGCGUAUUUUUAUUUUACUACAAUGUAAUUUAUUUUUGAGAUCAUUGUGAAGACCUAGAAUUAAAUAGGGCACCAAAAUGCUAUUGGAAACAAAAUAGUGACAAAAUAUAUAAUUUCAUUUCAUUGGCUUAAUUAUAAUUUCCAGUUAAUUACACCUUGUUAAUGUAAUUAAUGUAUCAUUUUACUAGCUGAUUUAAGAGCACGUACAUCUUUUCAAUGAGACAAAGUAGAAUAAAAUAAAACAAUUCAAACCACAACUCGACAAAUGCUAAGGGCCUAUUGGUUUGCUAUAACCAAUUUUCAAAUUGAAAAUAACUUUUGAAUCAAACAAAAAAUUAGGUGAAAGUCAUUUUUCCACUGUGAUUUGUUUGAUAAAAAGUCAUUUUCUUCGGAACUGAGUUCUCCUAAUUUUUGAAUUUAUUUCAACGAAAUUCACACUUUCACACAAAAGGAUUUUAAAAAAAAAGUUAUAGUAGUUAAUUAUUAUAAUUUUUUCUAUUUAAUUUUCUCCUAUAAUUGACAAAAUCAAUUAUGUAUUAUAAAAAAAAAAAAUUGAGUUAUGACCUGAAAUUAAUUUUUGAUUUAGACAACAAAACUGGAUAUUUAUGGUCGAAAAUCACUUUAUUUCUCUGCACUUUCUGUAAAACAAGUAGGCUGCAAAUAACAGAAAAGGAUAGAAAAGUUGCUCACCCCAAAUAAUUUAGGUAAAAAUAUAAAAACUUAUACGAACUCCGGACCAUUUUAAAUCAACUACUCGACCUUUGAAAAAUUUUGAUAUUACUAUUCAACCUGUCAAUUUAUUUGAUUUGAGUCAAUCGAUGCCAUUUUAACUUUUAAUUUAAGCUAAUUGGUCAUCUUAGUGAAUUUAUGUUCGCGGGAAUUGUACAAAAUACACUAACUAAAUCAAAUUCAAAUUUUAAAUUCAAAAUACCGUUGAGUGACUCAAAUCAAACAAAUUAAAAUAAUCAGAUAGUAAAAUCAAAAGAGUGCUGGUGCAGGUACCCCAAGUUCCCAACUGUACCCUACAAUAUAAUAUAUGACACGGCAACAUCAUCAUUACACUCUGAAUAUUAAUUACUAUAUAUCUUCCGGACAUUAUUAUUAUUAUAUUUAUAAACAUGCUAACACAUGAAUAGCAUAAUAGAAUACACAAGAUUAAAUAAAGAUAUUUCAAAUAUUUCUCAAAUUAAAAAUUUUAAAAAAAUUAAAUAGUAAAAUUUAAAAUAACACAUAUUUCACAUUAAGUUUUGUACUUUCUUUUUUUUUGGGUCAAUAAUUUAUUAAGGCCUCCAUGAUGGGAAAAUAUUGGCAGGGGGGUUUUGGAUGAUGUGGUGGACCAAGCUGCGUGCAAUUAUUUCAAAUAAUAAUAGCGACAGUGGGGCCCACCAGUGAUGCAAAAAGAUCCACUCCGUCCCCCCUCCUAUAAAUCUCCGGAGAAUAUCGUGAUUCGCGAUAUACUAUUAUAUAUAUAUAUAUAUAUACUACUACUAUAUACCUACUAUACCUCAAUAUACUACGUAUAUACUACCUUUCCGGCUAUGGUGCUUGUAAAAGUACCAAGCACUUGUGCUUGUAAAUUUUUUACCGUUAGAUCUCUGCCUUUGAUCAUUUUUACCCGUUAGAUUAUACUAUUCAACCAACCACCCACUCAACCCUAGAGGGUCCACAUCAUCCUAACCGCACAUCCUUUAAUGCAAGGGCCGAAAACUUACAAGCACCAAUGACUUGGUACUUUUAAAAGCAUAAGGGCUCAAUUAUAUAUAUAUAUAUAUAUACUUUAUAUAUAAUAAUUAACUAUAUAUGUAUUUCUCCAAUGAAACGAAUCUUUAUUUUGUUACCACUAUAUAUCGUAUCGAAACGAGAUCAUCAUUUUUUCACGUAAUUUAGUAUGGUUAUUUGGGUCGAAGUGGAUAGGGGAAGUCGUUUUCACCGAAACGAUUACUUUCGUUGUUUGGUUAGUCGUAAAAAAAUUACAGUCGAAACUCGAGUUAAUUUAAAACGGUGUAAUUGACUUCGGCCCAUCGGUGAAGGAAAUUGAAGAAAAAUAAUAAAAUAAUAUACUAGAUAAAGAUAGUUAUGUUUAAAUAUAUUUAAUUAUUCUACUAAUUACUCUUUUAUUCAGUUGGCGCAUUUAAAUAUGAUAAAAAUUAAUUAGUUAAGUUUUAAUGUAUUUUUUAUUUAAUUUGUACAGCUAAAAUAUAAUAAAAAUUAAUUAAUUAAUAGGCUGAAUUAUAUAAAAUUCCUUAUCAAUACCCGCUUUUUCAAUCUCCCUCAUAUUAUUAAAAAAUUUAUACUUUGCCCUCUUAAAAAAUAAAAAAUAUAUUCACAGAGGAAUACGGUGUGACAAAAUGAUCAAAUUGCCCUCAUCUUAUUCGUCUUCUCCUCCCCAAUCUUGCUCAUCCUGGCGGUGGAAGAGUGCGAGGGCGAGGAAGCGGAGGGCGACACGGCGGCGGAGGGCGAGGCUGCGGCCGAGGGCAUGUGUGUGGGCAUAGAUGAGGAUUUCAGAAAUAUUUUGGGUAUAAAAAAUAAAAUAUAAGCGGAAUCCUAACGGAACACUGACGGUCUCAAAAAUAGAUUUUUGAGUGACAGGGAAAAGAAUGAAAAAGCGAGAAUUGACAGGAAAAUUUUCUGUAAUUUAGCAAAUUAAGUCUUAAUAUUUUAUUACUUUAUAAUUUUAUUAUUGUAUUACUAUAAUUUACUAUAAUUUAUCUAUAAAAAAUAAUUUAGUUGUUUUAAAUUAAAUUUUAAUUAUAUAAAAAUAUAAUUAUAUUAUAUUUAUUUAUUAAAUUAAUAUAUAAAUUAUAGUUUUACGUCAUAUAUAUUUCCUAUUAAACAAACAACAAAACUAAUGAAACUUUACUUCCAUAACUACAAAACAAACAGUGAAAAAGAUAUAGUUUUUAUCGAACUCCGCUUCAAUUCAAAAUCCACUUCAACCCAAAGUCUAGUUUCGAUACAGAAAAUGUAAAUGUGCAUGGAAACCCCUCAACUGUGGUAAAAAUACUUGGAGGCAAGCUCCCUAACGGAGUCUCUUUGGAGAGCCCCCGAUUCCAUGCAACAUAUUAAAUUUUACCACAAUCAAAUAUUUUUUGAAUAUUUUUAAUUAUUAAAAAAUUUAAAGGUAAAAAUGUAAAAAUCUUAACCAACAUUUUAAAAUUAUAAAUUUAGUAUCCAACCUUUCAAUUUGUUUAAUUUAAAUAAUUUCAUGGCUCUUUGAAUAUAAAAUUUACGCUAACGGCUUACUUUAAUGAAUUUGUAGUUAGUAAAUUAUAUAAAAUAUGUUAACUAAAUUCGUAAAAAUAAAUAAAAUAUUUAAAUCUUAAUGUUAAAAAGUUACUAUUUGGCUUAAAUCAAAUAAAUUAAAAAGUCAGAUGAUAAAAUCUUUCAUGUUGAAAGUGCAAAUACAGUAAAAAUAUAUAAGAUAAUAUUAUGGAGGAUUUUUUGUAGUAGUUCUCAUACAAAAAUGGAGACAAUAAUUUUAAGGUAUUUGGUAUAAGAGAAAUUGUUAGAUGGACCAAGUCCACUAUAUACUAAUUUCAUUAUGAUAAACUUGAUCAUAGAGGUAUUAAGUAAAAUUAAAGUUUUUAAAUAUUAUUUGUAGUACUUAAAAAUCUACAUAAAACUUUUAAAAAAUCUAUUACUAUAUUUAAAUAUUUAUAAAAUUAGUCUAAUAAUCUCUGCAGGUUUAAGCAGCACCAAGUGGAAAAAUUAUUUGCCUGGUAUAGGUCCACUGAGGACCAUUUGUUAAAUCUCAUUUUUAAUAAUUUACUGAAAUUUUAUUGAUGUUGUUUGUAACACUUAUAAGAAAGCACAUAUUAUAAAAAAAAUUAAUUUCAUAUAGGUUCCUACAAAUAUAGUUAAUUACAAAUAUAUUCCUUUAAAGUUUAUUUUUUAUAUAUUAUUUCUGGAAAAGUCCUGAUUUUUUCAAAUAUGUCCCUACUGUUAGGAUCUGUUAGAAAAAAAUUAGUUAACUAUAGAUAAAAUACUUAACCCUAGUUAGUUAAUGAGGUGAAUUGAUCUUUUUAUCCCUCUUUCAUUAAUAGUUGGGAUUUUUAAAGGGACAUAUUUGUGAUACCAAAAAAGUCAUUUCACUUAUAGGGUGCGUUUGGUUCACGUUAUCUUUUAAAGAUUCCUAGUAAUCCAAUAGGAAUAAAAAAAUAUGACGGUGUUUGGCUAAACGCACUAAGUAAUCUAAUUGGUAAUAUUGGAUUCACUUGGGAAUAAGAUUCAUCCCAAAGUACUAAUCUCAUUCCCUUAAGGGAGGAUGGGUAUUCUCGUAUUAAUGGAUUUGGGUAAUCAUAAUAUGUCUAAUCUCUUUCUUUCUCCCUACCCGCCGGUUAAUUGAUAUUAUUUUUCUUUACACUCUAACCUCAUAUCUCUCUCUAAACUUAUCUUUCUCUCUAAAAUUUAACUUUUUUUUUCUCUCUCUAAACUAAGCUUUUUCUCUCUCUUUCUAAAAUUUCAAUUCUCUUACUCGCUCUAAUUUCGACUCUAUAUCUUUUUUCUAUUUUUUUAAUUAUGUUCUCACUCUCUAAAUUAUGCUCUCUCCCUCUUUUUUCUAAAAAAAUGUUGAAACUUUUAGUAGCAUUAUCUAAAAUUAAUUAAAAAAUAAAUAAAUUAAUUGUAUAUUUUUUGUAAUAUUAAAUAACAUGGCUAAAUAAAAUUACCGUGCGAACCAAACACAGGAAUUCCAUAUUCUUAGUAAUAGGAUGAAUAGGAAUAAGAUUCUCGGACAUCUUUUCAUUCCUAGUAAUCUUUCAUAAUGCGAACCAAACGCACCCAUAAAUUAAACAUUAUUUUAAUGAUAACAAACCAGAGAGAUAUAUUUGAAAAUAUUAGGACUCUUAUAGAAACAAUAUAUGAAAAUUAAAUUUUAUAGAAAUAUCUUUGUAAUUCACUAUAUUUGUAGUAAUCUGUAUGAAAUUAACCAUAUAAAAAACUAUACAUUGAAAAAACACAAUAUUCGAAAAUUUUUCUAUAUUUACCGAAUAUUAAAUAAAAUGGUCUAAAGAAAGGGGCAUAGUUAUAAUUACAUAUUCAAAUGAUGUUUUUUUAAUUUUUUUUUUGUCCUUUUUAUGUAUUGAAUGUUGAAAAUUCUAUGUGAAAUAAAUAUGACAAAAAAGUCUUUUUCUAUAGGCCGUUCUUAAAAAGCCUCCUCAACUAUAUUUUUUUUGUUUGAGACCCUUGGGUUUUAAAUUUUUGGAACUAAGUUAUUUUAUUCAAAUAAAACAGAAAUUUAAUCAAAUUAAUUACUAAAUUUAUUAAAUUUAAUAACUUACACUAAUUUACAGCAAAUAAAACUAGAUGAAUUAACUGAAAACCAAAAAUUUCCUUAAUUAACUAUAAAAGCUCAAAUAAAAAAGAGUUUUAAAGUUGAGGGGUCUAUUUUAGAAUAGCCUACAAUUUAGGGGUUCUGUGUAUACUUUUAUCUAUAAAGAAUAGAGCCCUAAACAAUUUAGCAAUGCUAUUUUUCUACCCAAAUUUACAUUUGGUCCCUAACAUAUUUUUUGUUUGCAAAUAGAUGCUUAGCCUUUAGACUUAAUUGCACAGUUGGUCCUUAACCUUUAUUGAUUUUUUCCACUANCUCGAAUACAUAUAUUUUAUAUUUAUAUAAUUUAUUUAAUUUAUAUUUUUAUAUAUAAAUAAAUAAUUAUAUAUAAUAUAUAUUUUUAUUAUUUUUAGCAAAAUAAAAAUAAAAAUGUGAGCUUAAUUAUAAAAAGACUCAUUUAAAUGUAAAGUUUCAACUAUUAGAUCAAAGUCUAAUAAAUAAGAUUUUAUAAAUUUAUUUUUUAUAUAUAUUUAAUAUAAUAUUUUUUAAUUUAUUGUUCGUUGGCCAGCUCGUGAGCCAGUUCGUGUUUGGCUCGUUAAUAAACAAGUCGAACACGAGCUGAAUUUUUCGGCUCGAUACUUUAAUGAGUCAGCUUGUGUUCGGCUCGUCUGACUCGUAUUCGGCUCGUUUACACCCCUACUAAUAUCUUCUUCUAUGUGCGCGCACAUCGACAAGCCCAAUCAGCCCAAUCAGAGUUAAAAAAAAAUUAAAAAAAAAGUUAAUAUAUAUAUAUUUUUAUCCCUAAUUUAAGAAUAAAUAAAAAAAAUGAUGACGGUAGAAUAAUAUAUUUGAAAAAAUAAAAUAAUAAUUUUACAGAAAUAACAAGUUGUUUCUACUAAUUUAUUAACAGAAUCUAACUGUAAAGAUAUAUAUAUUCGACAGAGUUUAAAACGUUAAAUGAUAAAUAAGAAAAAGUAUUUUAUUUUUAAAAAAAAUAAAAGAAAAGAAAGGCGCAGAUCUUUUCCUCUAAUCUCCGUACAUUUCCAUCUUCGGAAUCUGCUUUUACUUAUAGCAGGGGCAGUAAUAUAUAUAUAUAUAAUAUAAAUAAUAAAACCGCGUGAGACUUUUUUGUCCAGUUCCCGUGAUGGCGAAGCAACAGCAGAUGCGGUAGUUAUGUGAUAUCAUGAUAAUAAUAAAAAUAAUAAUAAUAAUAAUAAUAAUAAUAACUCGCGACAUAUUGAUUCAUUGGUUGUAGCAUUAGAUACCGCUAUAUAUAUAUAUAUAUAUAUAUAUAUAUAUAUAUAUAUAAAUUAUAAGAUAACUCCUCCAGAGAUUUUCUCCUGCAUACUCCAUCCAAUUUUUCGCGUUUUUUUCCUUUUCUUUUUUUUUUUAACAAAAAAACUUUUUUUAGCUUUUGUUUUGACAGAUUUGCAUAAAAAAUUUAUUUAGUUUUUGAAAUUUUAUAAAAAUAAAUUAUUAUUUUGAAUUUUACAUAUUUGGUUCGAAUUUUUAGAAAACUGAUUAAAAUAUACUUAUUACUUUAUCUCUCUUCUUUCUUUUUUUCUUUCGUUUUUUUUUUAUUCUUUUCGAAGAGGGCGGCGGAGGCGGAGGCGGAGGCGGAGGCGGCCCGCCUCACCUCUAUCCCGCGUGCCCUCACCCUCACCAUCGCCUGCUCCCCCGCCCUUCUCGCCUUCGACCCUAUUGAGGCCGCGCCGCUGUGCUCUUAGAAGUAUGGAGACCUCUGUUCUCCUAAAUUGUUUUCGAUGAUGCAAUUUUUGAAUCGACGAUCCGCUUUAUUAGACUUGAUCUAUCGUAUUUGAAGUGUCUAGAAAAUAAACUUCGUGAUAUUUCGAUAUCAUUUACCUAGUGAUCGAAAGUGUUCAAAAUUAAUGGCUGAAAAUAAAAAUCUCACAAAAAAUAGUAAUAUAGAAUUAAAAUUUUUGAUACGAGAUAUUGAUCUUUUUGUAGAUAGUACAGAAACUUUUCUAUCAAAUUUUAUCUGAUUUACAUACUUCUACAUUGUAUUGGAAAUGACAAAUAUCAACCAUUAAAAAUUAUUAAUUAUGAACCUUUUCGAUCAUAAGGUAAUGAUAUCGAAAAAUCACAAAAUUUAUUUUUUAAAUACUUCAAAUACACUAAAUCAAGUCUAAUAAAACCGAUCGUCAAUUCGAAAAUUUCGUCAUCGAAACCUGCUCUUUGUUUCUAGUAAAGUUUGCGCUUUCUUAUUUACCUCUCUUGAAAAACUAAUAAUAAAAAUAUCUUUUUAAGAAUCCAAAUUCUUUCAAAUAUAUUCCUAGAGUUAAAUUCUAUUAGUGAAUGGUUAGAAACAAUCAUUAUCAUCGUGAAAUUACUACUUUUUCCUUACAAAUAUAUCUUUCUGCUAUAUAUCACUAAAUUUUUUUUUAUUUGCCCAAGGACAAAAGAAGUAUUUUAACUCUAUUUUUUCAAAUACACUUUUUUACCUUCACCAAUUUUUUUAAUUUGUCCUAAAGUUAGGGACAAAAAAGUAUUUUUACUACUUUUUGAUUAUGGUAGAAAUUUAAUUUAGAUUUAACCCGAGAUUACUCAAAGGACAGUAACAUCGAGGGUAUUUUUAAAUAACGGAGAAUUAUACGGAGGGUACGUAUUUUUGAAACAAAGAAAAAAAAGGAAUAAAUAAGAUUUUUAAGAGGUUUUGAGAGCUAUAUAGGCAAUUAUACCUUGUGUUUUUAAUACCCUAUUACAUCCAAUUAGGAUUAGUUUUCCUAGUCUUUUUGUAAUUAUUUUUUUCAUAAAAACAUAUAAAAUUUAUUUCAAAUAUCACCCAUUUUAAUUUGACUAUCUAAUCUUAAAUUCUAAUUUUAUUUACUAAUCUUUUAAUUAUUUGAUUUGAGCUAGCGAAUAACUUUUUAACUUCAAAAUGUAAAUGUGGUCCUCCUUGUUACGAAUUUAGUUAGCAUAUUUGUACAAUUUAUAAAACUAUAAAUUUAUUAAAAUAAAUAAUUUACUUGAAUUUGCAUCCGAAGAGUCAUAAAAUUAUGUAAAUUAAAUAAAUACUAAAAUCAAAAUUUUUAAAGAUUAGAUGUCACGCCCCGGAUAUCUCGUUCCCCGGGCACGCCGACAAAUCCGCUGUAUACAAGAAAUUUCCCCUGUAUACGAAGCGUCAAAAGUACCUGUAAAUAUACAAUACUACAAACAGUAGCAUAGAGCUGCUCAAUAUACAAAGCUAAACAACUGAGUUUCAUAUACAUAGUCCAAAUCCAAAAUACAAAGCUACUCGCACCGGCGAGUUAAACAACUAUGUACAUAAACUCUAAAAUAGUAACUACCUGCAGUAGGGGGGUGCCUCUAGCUCUGUCAGUCGGGUAGGGCUCUACCUCGCGACGCCCUUGCCUCGAUCCUGAUCCGCGGAAGGCGCAGUAGCCGAAACCUGUGGCUCUGCAAAACAUAGGUAACAACUGGGCUUGAGAACUACUGUAAACAACAAUGUCUCCAGUGGGUACCGCCCAAAACGACAUCGGUCACCCACUAAGUCUACAGAAGGGACAAAAUAGGAGGAAAAGCAGGAAGUAACUCUAACCUGCAUUAUCCACUACAACUAACAUGCUCACACUAACCGACUGUAGAAAUGUCAAAUCUGAACUCAAAUCAAAUCGAACUCGUAAGCAUCCCGCCCCGGGACGUGAUACACCCGUCCCUGCCCGCUGAGACCAUCCUCUAAUCACACUAACUGUCUCGUGGGAGCAAGUCCAACUGGCAUGAGCGACGAACAACGCAAAAAGCACAAGCCUGACUCCGGAAUGGGCACUCGGUCGGCGCUACUAAACCGAUGUAUGCAGCGUAAAUCUCUUGUCGAUCAAUCAGGCUCGCAACUAGCCAGCAAGAAUCGACUCAAACUGGUUAACAACCAACGAAACAACGGCCUUCGGACAAUCCGACGCGCAAAAGAACGGCGAAAACGGGCCUCAUGCCUCAGUUCCCUGACGCGCCCACUAGAUGACGAAACAGUCAUAAACCUCAAAAAAUCUCGGCAUACCAGCAACAUCGUAAAUGUAUUCUAAACUCCUGAAUACUCGGUCUACAGUAUGCUUCGGCGACACGUACAAUCUAUAACGCUCCUACAGCUAAAUCAGGCAUUAAUACAUAUGUCGAUUCCAAUCGCUGUUCUCCUCAAGUUUUUAAACGCCAGUCAACAUGUAUAAUUUAAAAGGUAUAAUCCUUGUUAAAUAUGCACAUUUAUUCCAGGAUAUCAUUAUAAAAACAACAUACAACAUGAUUGUACGAACAGAAAAAUCAUACAUUCGACAUUUCUCACACUAAAUAAUAAACCGUGUAAACCUACACCUUAGUCCGCUAAUUUUGAGCAGGGCAAAACACCCCACAGCUGCGCACCACCUGCUGUGCAUCUAACCCUCCAAAUUCCGGAUCGAGCUAACACUUCACGCUCGACCAAAGGCACAAAUCAGUUCAGUCCAAAAUUGCCAGCAGUCAGGUACACACGGAUUUCCGCCAUACUAACCUCAACGAACAUCUGGCAAGUAAGGCUUAGUCGUGGAUUCCUCUCGAAUUCCUAAUGCCAGCGAAUCAAGACACUCGUCGAAUCCGACGUCCUACGUCGAGUACAAGCCGAAACGAGGCCAACCGGUCGACGCUGAAAAUCUGCAGGACAGCAACUGCUCGAAAUUGAAAACACGCUGAAAUUAGAAGCCAAUUCUAUGGAACAUGGGCCCACCUCGACGGCGACUAGCCUGCAGCGACGUCAUAGAACGCGAAGAUUCCACGUCAGCGCCGCUCCUCACGAUGCAACGCAAGCAACCGAGGUCAACAGGCCUCUGCGGAUGCGACCGUCGAACAGGCGAAAUCGCUUCCGCGCGCGUCCCCUGCAUGUGCUUCCUUAGGACGGGUCGAACGAGAAGAGAAAAGGAGAGAAGAGAGACGAUAAACUCCUCUCUCUCUCUCCCUGCAUGCAUAACAAGAGGGGGAGGUAGCCACAUGCAUUACAGCAAACUCACACAUGUGCACUCCACAUCAUGUGUUUUGUACGCACGACACAUGCACUACCUAACACACACUUAUAUAUAUACUACUAAGUGUAAGGAUACUAAGUAUUCUACAUCUCCCGCCAUACAAAAAGUUCGUCCGCCGAAACUGAACUACCUCUACUCAACGCAUGCAAACAGUAGGAGAUAGCUUCCCUCAUCACCGUCUCAGACUCCCAAGUCCGCCUCCCGCUCAUGACAUGAUUACUCCCCGCACUUUCACAUACGGGAUAACCGUGAGCUAAUUCUUUCGUCUCCCGAGCAAAAAUCCGGCAGUUCCUCUCGUAUCUCAGAUCCUACGCCAAAUCUCAAGUGAGUUAAGUCAAUCACUGUGAGAGGGAUCGAAGACGUAUCCUCUCAUGCUGAGACGGGAAAACAUCAUGAUGCCAGCGAAGUCGCAUUGGGGAACAGCUAAAUCUCUGUAAGGCCACCGUCCGAAUACGCUCCAAUACUCCGAAAGGCCAACAAACCGUGGACUAAGCCUUUCACUACUCCAAAUCUCGUAUCCCUCGCACGCAGCCGAACUUUGAGGAAACAUGAUCUCCAACCUGAAACUCCAACUCUCUCCUGGUAUCGCGUAGCUUCCUCUGUCGCUUGCUGUGCUGUCAAAAAGUGUCGUCGAACGAGGCUCUCAACAUUUUCCUCAGUCCUCAAGAGAAUCUCCGGCCCAAGUGCCUCACUCACUCACAUUCACUCCAAACCAGGGGGGAUCGACAUCUGGCGUCAUAACAACGCCUCAAACGAGACCCCCAUCGAUCGCUCGCUUGAUAAGCUGUUGUUGCUACGCAAACUCACCAGUCUCAAAUGUCGUAUCACCUCUCCUCCAAAGUCCAGAACAUAUGCCUCAGGCAUGUCUCUAGUCUUAUGGUCCGCUCUGACGACCAUUCUGUACUUGGGCGGAACGCCGUGCCUAAAAUGCCAGCUGUGUACCCAAGGCUGUUCUGCAAACCCUUCCAAAACGGGAUACAACCGUCGGUUUCUGUCUGAUACAAACGACACUGGCGGUGCAGCCUAACAAUCUGAUCAGUAUGACUGGUCAAGUCUCUUCCUUGGUACCAGUAUUUCUGAACCGGUAGGAAGUGAGUCAGACUUGGUUCAGUCGUCCACUAUGCACCAAAUCGACAUGCCACCUCGCUCAUAGGCAACCAACGACGAAGUCCAUCGUUGAUGUGCUCCCAUUCCACUCUGGGAAACUGGCCAGAUCUGAGCUUGCCAGCAGGCACCUGAUGCUCGUCCUUCACCGUUGGAAGUCAACACACGUGAGGCACAUAUCUGCCAAUGUCCGCUUCAUUCCAGGCCACCAGAAUCGUGCCUUACAGAUUCUAUAUACAUUCUUGUGUUCCCCCAGGAUGAACGUAUAUAAGGGGAACAAUGAGCUCUCUUCAGGAAUAUCCGCUCGAAUCUCCGGAUCCACAGCACACACAGUCGGUCCCUGUACGUCAGUACUCCGAACUGUCCAAGAUGCAAAUCCCUCAGCUGCCUCCCUGUCCUAGCUCUCUUCUAUCCUCAACAAUAGAUACGGAUCCCUCUGUUCUCUUCGGAUUCCUAUCAACAGAGUGGCUGCUGUAAAACAUAGAGACGCCAGCCUCGCCGUAGACCCCAGGGGCUACAUCUCGAGUCCCCCCGCUGUAGCCUCCUUGAGUAGGGGUCUCUGCUCAGUUAAUUCCUCAAUCUCAGGACUCUGCUGACUUCCUGCUCAACGCAUCUGCCACCACAUUCGCCCCGUGCGGGAUGAUACUGAAUACUUAAUGUCAUAGUCCUUCAGUAACUACCAACACCGCGCUGCCGCUCAGAUUAGUCCCUCUGUGUAACAGAACUUGAGAUUUGAUGAUUCGGUGAAUACCUCGCACGUGCUCGCCGUACAAGUAUGCCGCCAGGCUUCAAAGCAAAAACCACCUGCUGGCAGCCAUCAAACCAUGCGUAGGUAAUUCUUCUCAUAAUCCUUUAACUGCCUUGUGAAGCAUAGGCAAAUCAACCUAAUGCCAUGCAUGCAUCAGCACGCAACCACAGUCACACUGGCUGAUGCAUCACACUAGAUCACGAUACCACCCCCAUCACGAAGGGCAAUGAUUAGGAGCGACGUCAACCAGUCUUCUCACACUCGUCAAGCUCUCUGACAGUCCUCGCUCCAGACAAAAUACGAUCCCCUUCCGCAGUCAUAGCGUCGUUGAGGGGGUGUGGAAAGCUUUCGCAAAAAGCCUUCACAAAACCGACGGUAAUAUCCGCGCAGUUCCCAGGAAGCCGAAUCUCAGCUCAUCGUCGUCGGUCAAGCCAAUCCCGAAUCGCCUUAUCUUCUUCGGGUCCACUGCUCGCCCUCCGCUGAACUAUCAACUGGCCCAAGAAAGCAACUCCGUAACAGAAUUCGCAACCUGUUUCAACUGCAUUACAGCUUCUUCUUCGCAAGAAGCUGGUAGCACAAUCUCCAAGUUCCUCAUCUCAGCAUCAACUCCGUGAGUAUAUCAAAUGUCGUCGAUGAAGCCUACCACAAAUCUAAUCCAGGAAAGUGCUGAACACUCUGUUCAUCAAAUCCAUGAUGCAGGCAGGACAUUCGUACUAAUACAAAAAGCAUCACUGCUGAACUCCAUAAUGCUGUACCGAGUCAGAAAAGUCCCGUCUUGGGAAAUCCUCGCGGCCUCACCCUCAGCUGGACUGACUGGAGAUCAAUUUCAAAAAGACACAAGAUCUUGCAGCUGAUCGAAUAAUCAUCAAUGCGCGCGAGUGAUACUUGUUCUUGAUGGUCACUUUAUUCAGUCACGUAAUCCACCACAUAACCUGAGCGACGCAGCGCUCUUCAGUACGAACAUUGUUGUAGCUGCCGUGUACCUUCUAUUUUACAUAUAAACACUGCGCUCCCCAAGGCCGAUACACUGGGUCGCACAAACCCUUUAUCCAUCAAUCCUGAGUUGCGCUUUAGCUACUCUCAGCUCGGCCAGGCGCCAUCCUGUAAGGUACCUUUUGAGAUUGGUCAGUUCAGGAACUACAUCAAUCACAAUCAUUAUCUCCCUCUCCGCGCGGCACGUCGUCAACUCAGGCGAAACACAUUCCGGAAACUCUCGCGGACUACAGGAAUGUCCUCAUGCAGAUUCUCGCCGCCGUAGGUACCUCCACAACUGUCGCUAGGAAAGCGAUACACCCACUGCUCAGCAUCUGUCGAGCCCUCGCCGAAGAUAUCCAGGUGGCAAACAGCGUGCUCCUGCAGCCUCUGAAAGUAAACUCCUCCUGGCCUGGCUCGCGGAACGUCACCGUCCUCGCUCCACAGUCGAUCGUAGCAUAGUACCGCGCCAGCCAGUCCAUACCGAGCACUACGUCGAAAUCCUGCAGCUGCCCUAACACCAGCAGGUCUGCGGGCAUGAUCCAAGAGUCUAACUGCACCGGACAGGACCAACAACACUCUGUAACCUGCAAGACAUGGUCGGGGAUCUGCACCUCUCGUGCCUGAGACAACGCUCCUAACUCUAGACCAUGCAACAAUGCAAAUGCUCGGCUAACGAAGGAAUGCGAUGCACCGGUAUCAAAAAGAGUGCGAACUCUAAUGCCAGAAAUCAGAGUGAUACCUGCCACCACUCGGUCGGCUGCUGAAGAGUCCUCCACCUGAGCUGCAUAGACCCUGCCACUCGAAGCCUGCUGUCGCCGCUCACCCGACCGCGGCACAGACGAUCUGUCCUCCUGGCGGUAGCUCGGUGCUGCUCCGUAAGACUGCUGUGGUGCUGGUGGUGCCGAAGCUGAUGACGGUACUGGAGAUGCUGCUCGGGGACACGCUGCCCUCAUGUGUCCCGGCUGACCACAUCCGUAGCACCUGCCCUCUCUAUGCUCGCACUGCCGAGGCCAGUGUGGUCCCCCGCAGAUCACACACUGUGGCGUCCUCUGAGUCUGCCCCUGCUGACGGGAUCCCCUGGAACGCUGACGCCCCGAAGACCCACGACCCUGAGAACGUGCUCGUGGAGGUCUCGGCGGACGUCUGCUACUCGACUGGCCUCCGUUGUCUGGAGCUGGGCGCUUCCUGUCCUGACUCUGUCCCGGCCCCUGAGCCCUCUCUCGCAGUGACACCUCUCCUCUCUCCUCCCAUAGUGCCUGCUCAAUGGACGCGUCCAAAGUCCUCGACCUCUGCGCCCUAACGAACCUGAAUAGGUCGGGUCUCAAACCCUGCUCGAACAAGUAGACCCUAUGUGCCUCGUCUCUGGCCACGAACGGAACACAGUUCAGGAGUCUAGUAAACUCCCGAACAUACUCCUGAACUGUCCGCUCGCCCUGCUGGAGCCUCUUCAAAUCCUCCUCAAUCUUCUGUUUCAUGCUGUUGGGAAAAUACAUCCCAUACAGCAUUCCACAGAACUCAUCCCAGCUCAGCUGCGCUGCCUCCAGUCUCUAGUCUCGCCUCACUCUCCGCCACCAGUCACGUGCAUCACCUGACAAACAGUGUACUCCCAAAGGUACCUGCUCCCCCUCUGGAACAUACAGAUCCUCGAAUAAUCUCUCCAUAGCACUGACCCAUCCCUCUACAAUCCAGGCCUCAGUGCCUCUGCCAUCGAAGAUCGGUGGAUCAAAACGGCGAAAACGAGCUAAUCUCUCCGUCCACCGCUCCUGCUCGGCCUCAGUCAACGGUACNACAUUAGUUGCACACAAAGAGUGAGGUGGUGGCUUGUUGUGAACACUUCCACAACAUAAUAACUAGUUAUAUCAACCACUUAGUUUACCCAAAGCACAAUUAGGGUUCAUAAACAAGUUUUUUAAUCUUGCAAAUUAAAGCUCUAGAGGUGUAUAUAUAUAUAUAUAUAUAUAUAUAUAUAUAUAUAUAUAUAUAUAUAGUCCGGCUACUAUACUAUUGAUAGUACCAAGCCCUUGGUACUAUUGAGUUUUCUACCGUUAGAUCUAUCCUUUGAUCAUUUCCACCCGUUAGAUUAUACUAUUAAACCAACCACCCACUCAACGCUAGAGGACCACUAACAAUUUAACCGGGGACCACUAUUGUCACGCCCCGGAUGUCUCGUUCCCCGGGCACGCCGACAAAUCCGCCGUAUACAAGGAAUUUUCCCUGUAUACGAAGCGUCAAAAGUACCUGUAAAUAUACAAUACUACAAACAGUAGCAUAGAGCUGCUCAAUAUACAAAGCUAAACAACUGAGUUUCAUAUAUAUAGUCCAAAUCCAAAAUACAAAGCUACUCGCACCGGCGAGUUAAACAACUAUGUACAUAAACUCUAAAAUAGUAACUACCUGCAGUAGGGGGGUGCCUCUAGCUCUGUCAGUCGGGUAGGGCUCUACCUCGCGACGCCCUUGCCUCGAUCCUGAUCCGCGGAAGGCGCAGUAGCCGAAACCUGUGGCUCUGCAAAACAUAGGUAACAACUGGGCGUGAGAACUACUGUAAAAACAAGUAGUCCUCAGUGGGUACCGUCCAAAACGACAUCGGUCACCCACUAAGUCUACAGAAGGGAGCAAGAAUAGAAGGAAAAGCAGGAAGUACACUCUACCGCUAUUAUCCACUACACUAUCAUGCUCUACACUAACCGACUGUAGGAAAUGUCAAAUCUGACCCAAUCCAAAUCGGGACUGUAAGCAUACCCGUCCCCGGGACUGUGAAUACACCCGUCCCUGCCCCGCUGAGACUAUCGGCUCUAUCCACACUAACUGGUCCGUGGAGAGCAAGUCCAACUGGCAUGAGCGACAACAACGCAAAAGCACAAGCCUGACUCCGGAGUGGCACUCGUGGGCGCUACCCAACCGAGUAUGCAGCGUAUCUCUGUCGAGCUCAAUCAGGCUCCAACUAGCCAAAGUCAAGUAAUCGACUCAAACUGGUCUAACAACCAACAAACAACGUGCCCUCGGCACAAUCCGACGCCAAAACGGCGAACCGGGCCCACCGUCAGUCCCGACGGCGCCCACUAGUACGAAACAGUCUAAACGACCUCAGAAAAAUUCACUCGGCAUACCAGCACGAGCGUAAAUGUAUUCUAAACUACCUGAAGUACUCGUCUACAGUAUGCUGCGACAGUACAAUUCUAUAACGGCUCCUAGAGCUAAAUCAGGCAGUUAAUACAUAUGUCGAUUCCAAUCGCGUUUUCUCCUAAGUUUAAACCCAGUCCAACAUGUAUAUUUAAAAGGUAAUAAUCAUGUUAUAUAUGCAGCAUUUAUCCAGGAUAUCAUUAUGAAAAACGAACUACAACAUGAUUUACCGAACAGAAAAUCAUACAUGUCGACUAUUACUACACUUAGGAAUAAACCGAUGUAAACCCACCUUAGUCGCUAAUUUUGGCAGCAAAACACCCUCACAGCUGCAGCACCACCUGCUGGUCGAUCUACACCCUCCAAAUCCGGGAGUCGAGCUAACACCACGCUCUACAAAGCACAAAUCACCGUUUCAGUCCCAAAAUUCGCAGCAGUCAGGUACAGCACGGAUUCGACCAAUCUAACCUCAACGAAAUCUGGCAAGUAAGGGCUUCGUGGAUUCCUCUCGAAGUCCUUAAUCCAGCGAAUCAAGCCUCGUCGAAAUCCGACGCUCCUACGUCGAGUACAAGCCGAAACGCCAACGGUCGACGCUGAAAAUCUGCAGGGACAGCAACUAGCUCGAAAUUGAAAAAGCUUGGAAAUUAGGAAGCAAUUCUAUGGAACACCCACCUCGACGGCGACUAGCACUGGCGCGACGUCAAGAACGGCGAAGAUCCACGCUCGCCCGGCCUCCUCACGAUGCAACGGCAGCAACCGUAGGUUCGAACGGCUCUGCGGUGCGACGUCGACGGCGAAAUCGGCUCCGCGGCGGCGUCCCUCGCGUGCUUCCUUGGUACGGCCGAACGAAAGAGAAAAGGAGAGAAGAGAGGAGAUAAACUCCUCUCUCUCUCUUCCCUGCAUGCAUAAAAGAGGGGGGAGGUGAUGCCACAUGGCAUUACACAAACUCACACAUGUGCACUCACACACGCACACACACGUACCCUCACACACACACUUAUAUAUAUAUACUAAGUGUAGGGAUACUAGUAUACUACAUUAGAUAAUUGAAUCAAAAUGGAAUUAAACUCAGAUAAGUUUUAUACAAUCUUAUUUUUCUUUUAAAGAGAUUUUCUCGAUCUUACGAUGAAAAGAAUAUAAGAUGUAUACCAUUACAUAGAACGUACGAAUUGCAUUUUCUUAUCUAAAUGAUUGCGUGCAAGUUUGACUUACAUGUGGGUUGAGACAAGCAUGUCCAUCUCUACACAAAUAAUCUGAUAGGUAUAUAUUAAUAUAAUAAUUUAUUAGAUUUUUUUUGGUCAUUUUGAAUUAUAAAUUUUAGUUUUUGUUUAUAUUUUGAAAUGCUGGUACUAUUUACACUGUAGGUGUCACCAUAAUGUAAGGAGUAUAUAUGGUAUAGUAUAAAAUAUAAAAUCUUAUUUCUAAAAAAAUUAUAUGGCCUACAUCAUAUUUAUUAUUGUGGGUAGUUGCUAUUGUAUUUGAGAUCUAGUACUAUAUGAAUAUAUAAAUAGCUCAUCCGGAACAGUAUUAAUGGUAAUUUUUGACUAUCAAUUUUUUAGUUAUUAGAUUAAUACUAUUUCAUUUAAUUAACCCCAAGAAACUCUAGGCCUCUAAUGGAUAAAAAGUUGAUAACGCACGCUAUUUCUCUAAAUAUCAAUAAUAUUUUAGCCACAUUAUAUAUAUAUAUAUAUAUAUAUAUAUAUAUAUAUAUAUAUAAUAUAUAUAUAUAUAUAUAUAUAUAUAUAUAUAUAUAAAGCACGUAUAUUCAAAUUUGGGUCUGUCGACAAAUCCAUUUUUCGGCGGAAAAAUAUUUAAUGUAUAUCUAUAUUUAAUGUAUAUCUAUAUCUAUACUAUAUAUAAAUUUAUAAAAUAAAAAAAAAAAAAAACUAUAUAAUUAUUGUUGACAAAAUAUGGUAGGUAUUUUCUAAUAGUAUAUAAUAAAUAAAUUUACUUUUUAAAAAUUGUAAAUUUUUUAAUAAAUAUGAUGUACAAUUUCAUAUUAAUUUAAAAUAAUUAUUAAAUAAUUAAUUGUUACGUGUAUUUGUACGUACAUUCAACUAGUAUUAUAUAUAUAUAUAUAUACUAUAAUAUAAAAGCACGUAUAUUCAAAUUUGGGUCUGUCGACAAACCCAUUUUCGGCGGGAAAAUUAGCGCCCAUUUUUCUCUUUCCGUACGAAAAAUUUUAAAUAUAAGAAUAAAAAUAGAAAUAGAAACAGCAAUGAAUACGUAAGUUCUCUAUAACAGAUUAUUGAUGUGAAAAUCCUAAAAUAUAAAUUUUCUAUUUAAUUUCAAAAGUAAUUUUUCUAUAACAGAUUACGGGUGUGAAAAUCGUAUAAAAGAUAUUUUUCUAUUUAUUCUAAAAAUACUUUUUUAGAUAUUAUCUAUUUAAUUUCAAAAUAUAUUUUCUUUUUAAAAUAACGGAUUUUAUUUUUCUAUUUAAUUUCAAAAAUUUAUUUCCUAACAUAUUUUAUUUUUCUAUUUAAUUUCAAAAGUAAUUUUUACAUUAGAGAUUAUUGUUAAUUAUUUAUCAUUUAAA
rnacentral:lncRNA from 1 species